UUAUAUCGGUAAAAGGGGAAGUUAUGUUUACAGAUUUUAUUUAAAUUUUGAGUAUUUUUAAAACAUUUAUUUAAGAAUUAGGUCGGUGGUAUGUUUCUUAAUAGUUCAAAGUCAUUGUAUAAUGCAUUCCAUACAGGUAUAGAGGUAUUUCUUAUACGAUAAGAAAAAAGUCCGGGGUAGUAGAGCUAGAGAGCACGAUUAAGAAGAAAUUGCAGGUUGCGUUGCAAACGACGCACCUAGACGUCAUAAAUGAGCUGGAACAAGCAGAAAAACCUCAAUUCAGACUAGUGGUGGUUACAGACAAGUUCCAUGGAUUACCUAUGUAUAAGAGAUACAAUUUGGUUAAUGAGGUCCUGAAAGAGGAGCUGCAAGGUGGCGCCCAAAUUUCUUCAAUAAUAGCCAAAACCCCUAUCCAAUGGCACAGAAGUUUGGCAGCUAAGGAACAUGGCCCUGACAGUUGAGGGUUUACUUGAGUUAUAGUAACUAAUGCUGUAAUUAAUUGUUGUUCAGUUUUUCAUGGAGUAAAAUAAAUCUUUGGUACAUGU